CCCUUAGAUGUUCUGGGCCGCACGCGUGCUACACUGAGUGGAUCAGCGGGUCAGGUUGCGCGAAAGCGUUUCCUAAUCUUUAAAUCCGCUCGUGAUGGGGAUUGACGGUUGCAAUUUUCUGUCAUGAACGAGGAAUACCUUGUAAGCGCGGGUCAUCAUCCCGCGCUGAAUACGUCCCUGCCCUUUGUACACACCGCCCGUCGCUCCUACCGAUUGAAUGAUCCGAUGAAUACCAUGGAUUGAGAGUACGAAUAGGUUCGCUUAUUUCUGCUGCUCGAGAAGUGGAGUAAAUCUUAUCAUUUAGAGGAAGGAGAAGUCGUAACA
rnacentral:rRNA from 1 species